GAUGAACGCUGGCGGCGUGCCUAAUACAUGCCAGUCGAGCGAACAGACGAGGAGCUUGCUCCUCUGACGUUAGCGGCGGACGGGUGAGUAACACGUGGAUAACCUACCUAUAAGACUGGGAUAACUUCGGGAAACCGGAGCUAAUACCGGAUAAUAUAUUGAACCGCAUGGUUCAAUAGUGAAAGACGGUUUUGCUGUCACUUAUAGAUGGAUCCGCGCCGCAUUAGCUAGUUGGUAAGGUAACGGCUUACCAAGGCAACGAUGCGUAGCCGACCUGAGAGGGUGAUCGGCCACACUGGAACUGAGACACGGUCCAGACUCCUACGGGGGGCAGCAGUAGGGAAUCUUCCGCAAUGGGCGAAAGCCUGACGGGGCAACGCCGCGUGAGUGAUGAAGGUCUUCGGAUCGUAAAACUCUGUUAUUGGGGAAGAACAAAUGUGUAAGUAACUAUGCACGUCUUGACGGUACCUAAUCAGAAAGCCACGGCUAACUACGUG
rnacentral:rRNA from 1 species